rnacentral:rRNA from 1 species
GAUCAUGGCUCAGGAUGAACGCUGGCGGCGCGCCUAACACAUGCAAGUCGAACGGUUAAAGCACCUCCGGGUGUGUAUAAAGUGGCGAACGGCUGAGUAACACGUGGGCAACCUGCCCCUCGCACCGGGACAGCCUCGGGAAACCGUGGUUAAUACCGGAUACGCCCCCCUCCGUCGCAUGGCGGUGGGGGAAAGCCCCGACGGCGAGGGAUGGGCCCGCGGCCUGUUAGCUAGUUGUUGGGGUAACGGCCCACCAAGGCCAUUAUGGGUAGCUGGUUGAGAGACCGACCAGCCAGAUUGGGACUGAGACACGGCCCAGACUCCUACGGGAGGCAGCAGUGGGGAAUCUUGCACAAUGGGCGAAAGCCUGAUGCAGCCGACGCCGCGUGCGGGAUGAAGGCCUUCGGGUUGUAAACCGCUUUCAGCAGGGACGAGGCCGCAAGGUGACGGUACCUGCAGAAGAAGCCCCGGCUAACUACGUGCCAGCAGCCGC